rnacentral:rRNA from 1 species
GACAGAGGAUGCAAGCGUUAUCCGGAAUGAUUGGGCGUAAAGCGUCUGUAGGUGGCUUUUUAAGUCUGCCGUCAAAUCCCAGGGCUUAACCCUGGACAGGCGGUGGAAACUACCAAGCUGGAGUACGGUAGGGGCAGAGGGAAUUUCCGGUGGAGCGGUGAAAUGCGCAGAUAUCAGGAGGAACACCGGUGGCGAAGGCGGGUCUCUGGGCCGAUAUCGACGCUGAGGAGCGAAGAGCGUGGGGAGCGAACAGG